rnacentral:lncRNA from 1 species
GGAAAGGAGAGUGGGUACACUAGGGAUAGAGCAGGAUAGGAAGAGUGCUGCAGCCAAAGGAUAGUAUGGCUGUGGGGACAGGGGGCAAGGGAAAAACAACAAUCCGUGUCUGUCACAGAGGGGAGACUGUAUCUUCCCUUCACUCAACAAUCACUUUUUGAGUAUUGAGUAUGGACCUGGAAUGAUGCUAAAUAUUCAGGAGGUACAAGACAUGGGUCCUGCACUUCCAAGCUCAAUACCUAGCAGAUAAAUGAGAAAGCAGUCAAUCUAGCUCUGGGGGAUAAGUACAAUACUAUAAUUUGCAAAUACACAUGAUACAUUAGUAACCUGGAGGCAUGGAGGGAAGAUUCCAGAUGAGGUGAUCAUUUGGUCAUGUUUCAUUCAAUUAAGAAUGCUUUGAGGAGAAGGUGCAGAGCAAUGGCAAAAUAGAAGCCUCCACCAAUAUCUCCCCUGCCCCUAAGGACAACAAUUUAACGACUAUCUAUACACAAAGAAGCACCUUCAUAAGAACCAAGAAUCAGGUGAGCAUUCACAGUACUUGGUUUUAACUUCAUAUCACUGAACGAGGGAGUGAGGCGAAUAGGAGACAGUCUUCAAUUGCUGACACCUCUCCUCCCCCAGCCCCAACAGUGGCCAUGUGGUGUGGAGAGGAAAUCCAUGUGCUUGGGAGAGGGAGAGCACAGCAAUUGUGAGACAGUGCAUUGAACACAGUAGUGCUCUGUCACAAUAGAAAGCAAAGCGGGAUUGAACUCCUCCGACACCUGCCCACAGAGGAAGUAUUCAAACCAGUCCUAAGCAGAGGAGCAUCACCCAUUCCAGUGGUCAGAACUUGACUUCCAGCAAGACUUUCCACUGUGAGCUAAAGUGCUCUGGAGUCCUAAAUAAACUCAAAAGGCAGUCUGGGCCACAAGGACUGCAACUCAUAGUGCCUACAGUUUUUCUUCAGAGGACUAACACUUGCAACUGGAGCCAUAUUGCCUACAAACCCAGUGAGCUGAAGUUCCUGAAAACUCCUGCCCCAGGUCAGCUCUUAACCAAUGACUACCAGAUAUAACAGUAAGAGACCCAGCUCUCUUGCUCUGGAUUAGAACAGCUCCGAGGCAUCACUUACCAACACUUAACAUCACUUCCCAUGUGGGAUUGAGCAAAAGCUGCUCUCUGUAAGGCUUAACGAAGAUCCCAUCCUUGCUUGGCAUCUUCCCCUACCCUUUCUGAGUCUCCUAUUCCCUUGCCCAUGUUUCCUGGAAGAGCUUCCUUAAUAAAUCACUUGUUCUGAAUUCUUGUCUUAGUGAAGAAUUGUUACUGGGGGAUUGAACCCAAGAUCCCCUGGCUAUUUUGUGUUAUCC